GCCCUUGUAGCUCAACGGACAGAGCGGCGAGUUACUACCUACCGCGGUGCCGGUUCGAUUCCUGCCGGAGGCUCAA
rnacentral:tRNA from 1 species